rnacentral:rRNA from 1 species
AUAUCAAUAAGCGGAGGAAAAGAAACCAACCGGGAUUGCCUUAGUAACGGCGAGUGAAGCGGCAACAGCUCAAAUUUGAAAUCUGGCCCCCACGGGUCCGAGUUGUAAUUUGUAGAGGAUGCUUCGGGCAAGGUUGUGGUCUAAGUUCCUUGGAACAGGGCGUCAGAGAGGGUGAGAGUCCCGUCUUUAACCGCGUACCGCGUCCAUGUGAAGCUCCUUCGACGAGUCGGGUUGUUUGGGAAUGCAGCUCAAAAUGGGUGGUAAAUUUCAUCUAAAGCUAAAUAUUGGCCAGAGACCGAUAGCGCACAAGUAGAGUGAUCGAAAGAUGAAAAGCACUUUGAAAAGAGAGUUAAACAGCAUGUGAAAUUGUUGAAAGGGAAGCGCUUGCAGCCAGAUUUGUGGGCGGUAAUUCAGCUGUUAUUUUUAACAGUGCACUUUGCCGUUUUCAGGCCAGCAUCGGUUCGGGGUAGCCAGUUAAAGGCCCUGGGAAUGUACCAACCCUCCGGGGUUGACUUAUAGCCCGGGGCGCCAUCUGGCUCGCCUGGACCGAGGCACGCGUUCUGCACGGAUGCUGGCGUAAUGGCUGUAAGCGACCCGUCUUGAAACACGGACCAAGGAGUCUAACAUCUAUGCGAGUGUUAGGGUGUCAAACCCCUGCGCGUAAUGAAAGUGAACGGAGGUAGGAGCCCCCGGGCGCACUAUCGACCGAUCCUGAUGUUUUCGGAUGGAUUUGAGUAAGAGCAUAGCUGUUGGGACCCGAAAGAUGGUGAACUAUGCGUGUAUAGGGUGAAGCCAGAGGAAACUCUGGUGGAGGCUCGCAGCGGUUCUGACGUGCAAAUCGAUCGUCAAAUACGCGUAUAGGGGCGAAAGACUAAUCGAACCAUUGUAGCCAGAGUUUUAACCAGGUGGUUCUACUUUUCUGAUACAGCCCGGCGCGGCCUGGGUUACACCGUUGGUCUGGCGGGGACUCCUUUGUCGAGACCCGCAGCAGCUUUUAACGGGGGCUGUCCACAGACUAUGGAGCGGUGGUCGGCGGCCACGUCGAUCAAAAUAUAGCCGAGAGAAAGAUGAUGCACGGUGGAAGCCUGUCAUCGUUCUUAACGCUGGUAGCUGGUUCCUGCCGAAGUUUCCCUCAGGAUAGCAGUAACGUUUUCAGUUUUAUGAGGUAAAGCGAAUGAUUAGAGGCCUUGGGGUUGAAACAACCUUAACCUAUUCUCAAACUUUAAAUAUGUAAGAAGCCCUUGUUACUUGGUUGAACGUGGGCACUUGAAUGUAUCGUUACUAGUGGGCCAUUUUUGGUAAGCAGAACUGGCGAUGCGGGAUGAACCGAACGUGAGGUUAAGGUGCCGGAAUACACGCUCAUCAGAUACCACAAAAGGUGUUAGUUCAUCUAGACAGCCGGACGGUGGCCAUGGAAGUCGGAAUCCGCUUAGGAGUGUUACGCGCUCCUGGUGGACGUAUGGUUGAGAUUGUCCCUGAUCUCGACCGUGGCGAUAGGGAUUCUUAUCCCGACAGUUUCCAAAUUGCAGGACAACUGCAAACCCGGGUCGCGUGACCUCGGUCUACAGACUACGUGAAACUACCCCCAAAAGUUUGGGGGCUGGAAUAGUCGUCGUUAAAGAUGGUUGUAUCUUUUAACGAUUUCUGGUGUAACAACUCACCGGCCGAAUGAACUAGCCCUGAAAAUGGAUGGCGCUCAAGCGUGUUACCCAUACCUCGCCGUUAAAGUUUUAAGGAUGCUUUAACGAGUAGGCAGGCGUGGAGGUUUGUGACGAAGCCUUGGGGGUGACCCCGGGUCGAACAACCUCUAGUG